GACGAACGCUGGCGGCGUGCCUAAUACAUGCCAGUAGAACGCACAGUUUAUACCGUAGCUUGCUCCACCAUAGACUGUGAGUUGCGAACGGGUGAGUAACGCGUAGGUAACCUGCCUGGUAGCGGGGGAUAACUAUUGGAAACGAUAGCUAAUACCGCAUAAUAUUGAUUAUUGCAUGAUAAUUAAUUGAAAGGUGCAAUUGCACCACUACCAGAUGGACCUGCGUUGUAUUAGCUAGUAGGUGAGGUAACGGCUCACCUAGGCGACGAUACAUAGCCGACCUGAGAGGGUGAUCGGCCACACUGGGACUGAGACACGGCCCAGACUCCUACGGGAGGCAGCAGUAGGGAAUCUUCGGCAAUGGACGAAAGUCUGACCGAGCAACGCCGCGGGAGUGAAGAAGGGUUUCGGAUCGUAAAGCUCUGUUGUAAGAGAAGAACGGGUGUGAGAGUGGAAAGUUCACACUGUGACGGUAUCUUACCAGAAAGGGACGGCUAACUACGUG
rnacentral:rRNA from 1 species